rnacentral:rRNA from 1 species
UACGGAGGGUGCAAGCGUUAUCCGGAUUCACUGGGUUUAAAGGGUGCGUAGGUGGGCUGGUAAGUCAGUGGUGAAAUCUCCAGGCUUAACUUGGAAACUGCCAUUGAUACUAUCAGUCUUGAAUACCGUGGAGGUCAGCGGAAUAUGUCAUGUAGCGGUGAAAUGCUUAGAUAUGACAUAGAACACCAAUUGCGAAGGCAGCUCGUUACACGCAUAUUGACUCUGAGGCUCGAAAGCGUGGGGAUCAAACAGG